rnacentral:rRNA from 1 species
GACGAACGCUGGCGGCGUGCUUAACACAUGCAAGUCGAACGGAAAGGCCCUGCUUUUGCUGCUUGCUCGAGUGGCGAACGGGUGAGUAACACGCGAGUAACCUGCCCCUGUCUUUGGGAUAACUUCAGGAAACUGGGGCUCAUACCCGAUAGGAUCUCCUGCUGCAUGGUGGUGAUUGGAAAGAUUCGGCGGUUGGGUAUGUACUCGCGGCUUAUGAGCUUGUUUGUGGGGUAGUGGCUUACCAAGGCUUUGACGGGUAGCCGGCCUGAGAGGGGGAACGGGGACCUUGGGCCUGCGAGACGCAGCAGUAGGGAAUGGGCCGCAGUAGUGGAGAACCUUGCGGAGCGAGGGGACGUGAGAUGCAGAAACGUUGCGUGCGGGAAGAUGGGUUUUGAGUGGAAAACCGAUUUGUACUGUGACGAAGAGUGAGUGACGGUACUGAGUAAAGAAGCCACGGCUAACUACGUG